rfam:Fabibacter sp. 4D4 scaffold1_cov115_read172, whole genome shotgun sequence.
GGUGCUGUAGCUCAGUUGGUAGAGCAUCGGACUGAAAAUCCGUGAGUCGGUGGUUCGAGCCCACUCAGCACCA